AAAGAGCGAAACUCCAUCUCAAAAAAAAAAAAGAAAAAAGGAAGUUGAAGAAUAACUGCAGAUGUCUUGUUUGGGUAACUUUAUGUAGUGUUGUGUACGUUAGGGCCAUUAACUAAGCCCAGGAGUACCUUUAAAGGGAAAGGUGGUGAAGGCUGUUCAAACACAGUGAGUUCAUGUCUGAAAUAUGUUUUGUUUUCCUCAUUCGUUUCCCCAUCUUCUAGUUACUAAAAGAUGUAACCGAACUGCAGAUCCUUGGUGAAAUAUCUUUCAACAAAUCUCUAUAUGAGGGACUGAAUGCAGAGAACCACAGAACUAAGAUCACUGUCGUCUUCCUGAAAGAUGAGAAGUACCAUUCUUUGCCUAUCAUCAUUAAAGGCAGCGUUGGUGGACUUCUGGUGUUGAUCGUGAUUCUGGUCAUCCUGUUCAAGUGUGGCUUUUUUAAAAGAAAAUAUCAACAACUGAACUUGGAGAGCAUCAGGAAGGCCCAGCAGAAAUCAGAGAAUCUGCUCGAAGAAGAGAAUUAGGACCUGCUAUCCACUGGGAGAGGCUAUCAGCCAGUCCUGGGACUUGGAGACCCAGCAUACUUUGCAUUACUUUUUCCUUCAGGAUGAUCUAGAGCAGCAUGGAGCUGUUGGUAGAAUAUUAGUUUUUAACCAUACAUUGUCCCAAAAGUGUCUGUGCAUUGUGCAAAAAGUAAACUUAGGAAACAUUUGGUAUUAAAUAAAUUUACACUUU
rnacentral:sRNA from 1 species